rnacentral:rRNA from 1 species
UAGGGAAUCUUCGGCAAUGGACGAAAGUCUGACCGAGCAACGCCGCGUGAGUGAAGAAGGUUUUCGGAUCGUAAAACUCUGUUGUUAGAGAAGAACAAGGACGUUAGUAACUGAACGUCCCCUGACGGUAUCUAACCAGAAAGCCACGGCUAACUACGUGCCAGCAGCCGCGGUAAUACGUAGGUGGCAAGCGUUGUCCGGAUUUAUUGGGCGUAAAGCGAGCGCAGGCGGUUUCUUAAGUCUGAUGUGAAAGCCCCCGGCUCAACCGGGGAGGGUCAUUGGAAACUGGGAGACUUGAGUGCAGAAGAGGAGAGUGGAAUUACAUGUGUAGCGGUGAAAUGCGUAGAUAUAUGGAGGAACACCAGUGGCGAAGGCGGCUCUCUGGUCUGUAACUGACGCUGAGGCUCGAAAGCGUGGGGAGCAAACAGG